GAUGAACGCUGGCGGCGUGCCUAAUACAUGCAAGUCGAGCGGACGGAUGAGGCGCUUGCUUCUUUGAAGUGAGCGGCGGACGGGUGAGUAACACGUGGGUAACCUACCUAUAAGAAUGGAAUAACUACGGGAGAGCGAAGCUAAUGCAGGAUAACAUUUAGAAACGGAUGGUUCUAAGGAGAACACGGGUUUUGAUAUGCCUUAUAGAGAGAACCGCGUCGGAUUAGCUAGUUGGUACGGUAACGGCUUACCAAGGCUACGAUACGUAGCUGACCUGAGAGGGUGAUCGGCCACACUGGAACUGAGACACGGUCCAGACUCCUACGGGAGGCAGCAGUAGGGAAUAUUGCGCAAUGGGCGAAAGCCUGACGGAGCAACGCCGCGUGUGUGAUGAAGGUCUUCGGAUCGUAAAGCUCUGUUAUUAGGGAAGAACAAAAGUGUAAGUAACCGUACACGUCUUGACGUUACCUAAUGAGAAAGCCACGGCUAACUACGUG
rnacentral:rRNA from 1 species